AUUGAACGCUGGCGGCAGGCCUAACACAUGCAAGUCGAGCGCGAAAGUCUUCGGAUGAGUAAAGCGGCGAACGGGUGAGUAAUGCAUGGGAAUCUGCCUGGUAGUGGGGGACAACGUCUCGAAAGGGACGCUAAUACCGCAUACGCCCUACGGGAAAGGGGGGAGUCUUCGGACCUCUCGCUAUCAGAUGAGCCCAUGUCAGAUUAGCUAGUUGGUGAGGUAAAGGCUCACCAAGGCGACGAUCUGUAACUGGUCUGAGAGGAUGAUCAGUCACACUGGAACUGAGACACGGUCCAGACUCCUACGGGAGGCAGCAGUGGGGAAUAUUGGACAAUGGGGGCAACCCUGAUCCGACGCAUCGCCGCGUGUGUAGAA
rnacentral:rRNA from 1 species